rnacentral:rRNA from 1 species
UACGUAGGGUGCAAGCGUUGUCCGGAAUUAUUGGGCGUAAAGAGCUCGUAGGCGGUUUGUCGCGUCUGCUGUGAAAACUCGGGGCUCAACUCCGAGCUUGCAGUGGGUACGGGCAGACUAGAGUGCGGUAGGGGAGACUGGAAUUCCUGGUGUAGCGGUGAAAUGCGCAGAUAUCAGGAGGAACACCGAUGGCGAAGGCAGGUCUCGUGGGCCACUACUGACGCUGAGAAGCGAAAGCAUGGGGAGCGAACAGG